ACCUUAUGGUUUGGACAUUGAUUUAGUUUCCUAUUGAAUCUUUCCCAUACUUUAUACAAGGUCUCUCCAUUCAAUUGCCUAAAGGUAAUGAUCUCAUCCCUUAAUU
rnacentral:snoRNA from 1 species